CCCUCCGGCUGUGACGUUAUCCGGGCAGGUGUGAUAGCAGAGCUCAGGAGUUUGUUUUACUACUGGUUGGCUCGUUGUGAAUUAAUUAAAAGCUCAUUGCUGUAGGCUGACGUAAGCGAUUGCUCCCCUGGCUCUGAACUGACUCUUAGCUUAGCAGCUCAGCCUUCCCACCAGGAUAGCUCCCUCGUAAUGGGCAGAACGUCUGAGUGCUGACGGCUCUGACGUGGGGGCAGGGUGGGUGUUAGGGAACAGUUCUCCUCAGAGCAGUGAGGCAGUGGCACAGGCUGCCCAAGGAGGUGGUGGAGUCACCGUCCCUGGAGGAGUUCAAGACCUGUGUGGAUGUGGCACUGAGGGACGUGGGCAGUGGGCAUGGUGUGAUGGGCUGCUGCUCGGACUGGAUGCUCUUAGGGUUUUAGGACACGGAGGAAGUGGAGGUGCUGUGGUUUGAAGAGAAGCUGUUUCCCAAAAUCCUAUUCCCUGGGCUGAAAUUGUCUCGUUGUUGGUGAUUUUGCUGCAUGAGGAGGAGGUGGCAGAGAUGGCAGUCAGGGAGAAAUUCUGAUGAGACUGCUGUUUGGAGAGGAGGAAGGAGAAGCAAAUGUUCUAUGGGACCCUGCUUUGAAAAGAGAACUGAGAAGAAGAGAAGUCCCUAAUUAAUUUGUGCAUCUUUCUCAAGUGAAAAGCAGGAACAUAAGGGAUGGCUCUGAGAUAUGGGAUCGAAACAGUACCAAGAAACCAAGAAAACUGAAAGGAGAGACAGAGAAGCACGGAGACAUUGGGGAGUUAACUGACAGAGGCUUACAGCCACAGAAAGACUUAGCAUGAAGCAGAUAGAAAAGCUGGAGAACACGGAGCAUAUCUAGAGCAAUGAACUCAAAAAACUCUAGCAAGCUUGCAGUUUUACAGUGAUGUGUGGGAGACCUCCUAACGACUCCUAAUUUAUGAGCACCAAGCUGUUCUUCCAGACUCGUGCAUUAGUUGCUUUUCCUAAAAAGACCCUCCAGCCCCCAGUUGUUUUUCUCCUGGCAUUUCCUAAUGGACCUCCUACCAACACUUUAAUGACAGCAUUUGUGCGGUGACAACAUCCCUGGAGGCUACGUACAAAGCAGUUUGUGCAUCUAGUUUAGGGAACAAAUACAAUAGCACGAGAUUUUAUCUUGCUUGAUAGAUACGGCCAAUAAGAAAGGAAAAAAAUACAUACAUUCUGGAUUUUCUUUGUUUUCUUGUGGCAUAAUGCUGGAUGAUUCAUUUCUCUUAGACAAAUUUUUGUUAUUCUCUCUUGUUUUUUCUUUACAGCCUAUUGCCUUGUUCAUGCUCCUUUUGCUGUGUAGGCAAUAGAGCUGGGGGGAUUUCACGCCUCAGAAAAGAAUGACUCUAAGCUAGUGAGGAGAAUUUAAAACACUGAGUAAAGUGGAAAGAUUUAAAGACAAGACUUUAAAAGAAUUUUUACUCAGACUGCAUGAAAACUUGUCUGAGAUUGAGUCAAAACUGCUGAGAAGCAUAGGGGAGAAAAGCUCCUUCCUUUCAGAGUAAAAAGGGGUAAAAGGGCAGGUGGGAGAAACCGUAAAAGGAAAGGAAAGACAAGAGGAAAAAAAUAAUGGGAAUACAGAGGAGUGGAACUCCUCCUUUCUCCAAAUCUUCUUUGUGGUUUUUUGUUGUUGUUGUUGUUUG